GAAAGCAAGAAACAAACAAACAAACAAACAAAGAGAAUUGAUCAAUUUGGCAGAUCCAUUCAUUCAUCCAUCUGUCUGACAUUUUCCCCUCCCCUUUGUCCUUGUCAAAAAUGGGAUGUCAGAGGGCAAAAGGCGAAGAAAGG
rnacentral:ribozyme from 11 species